rnacentral:rRNA from 1 species
AGAGUUUGAUCCUGGCUCAGAACGAACGCUGGCGGCAGGCCUCAAACAUGCAAGUCUAGGGGGUGUAGCAAUACAUCACCGGCGGACGGGUGCGUAACACGUGGGAAUAUACCUUUUGGUUCGGAACAACGCAGGGAAACUUGCGCUAAUACCGAAUGUGCCCUUACGGGGAAAGAUUUAUCGCCAAAGGAUUAGCCCGCGUCCGAUUAGCUAGUUGGUGAGGUAAUGGCUCACCAAGGCUCCGAUCGGUAGCUGUUCUGAGAGGAAGAUCAGCCACACUGGGACUGAGACACGGCCCAGACUCCUACGGGAGGCAGCAGUUGGGAAUCUUGGACAAUGGGGGAAACCCUGAUCCAGCCAUGCCGCGUGAGUGAUGAAGGCCUUCGGGUUGUAAAACUCUUUCGACGGGGACGAUAAUGACGGUACCCGUAGAAGAAGCU